rnacentral:ncRNA from 1 species
UAUUAAAUAUUGAUGAGAAGAGUAACUAAUCGAUGACUCCCAGAGAGUGCCUGUUUUGCUGAAAAGGUAUCGCCUGAAAUUAGUGAAGAUGAGCUUAGAGUAUUAAACAGGUUAACGCUAUGUUUACGGUCCGCAACCGUUAUGUUGCACAACCCAAGAUUUAUGGGUUUUGAGGCAAUCAAUUUGAUUGUAAAUAUAGGUGGCACCGCGGUCUAAUCGUAAUCGUCCUUGUA